rnacentral:rRNA from 1 species
GACAGAGGUCCCGAGCGUUAGGCGGAAUCACUGGGCUUAAAGCGUGUGUAGGCGGAUUUGUAAGUACCUUGUGAAAUCCCACGGCUCAACCGUGGAACUGCUUGGUAUACUGCUUAUCUUGGGCCAGCUAGGGGCUACCGGAACAAGCGGUGGAGCGGUGAAAUGCGUAGAUAUCGCUUGGAACGCCGAAGGUGAAAACAGGCUGCUGGGGUUGCGCCGACGCUGAGACACGAAAGCCAGGGGAGCAAACGGG